UACGUAGGUGGCAAGCGUUGUCCGGAUUUACUGGGCGUAAAGAGCGCGCAGGCGGUCGUUCAAGUCGCGUGUGAAAGCCCCCGGCUCAACUGGGGAGGGUCACGCGAUACUGAUCGACUGGAAGGCAGGAGAGGGUAGUGGAAUUCCCGGUGUAGUGGUGAAAUUCGUAGAUAUCGGGAGGAACACCAGUGGCGAAGGCGGCGAUCUGGGGUCGAUACUGACGCUGAGGUGCGAAAGCGUGGGGAGCAAACAGG
rnacentral:rRNA from 1 species